AUGGCAGAGGCUGCUGGGUGGACAACCAAGGCCCAGGGCAGAUGGAGGAGGCAGCUGAGACCAUGGGGAGCUGCUGCUCUAGCAAGAACCAAGACUCGGCGCGCCUGGGCUGCGCUGCUCCUGGGGACGCUGCAGGUGCUGGCGCUGCUGGGGGCCGCCCUGGAGUACAGCGCAACCUCGGCAACAUCUGCAAACAUAGAGAAUUCUGUGCCUCCACACAACUCUAGUGCUAACUCAACAGAGACUCUCCAACAUGUGCCUUCUGACCAUGCAAAUGAAACUUCCAACAGCACUAUGAGACUACCAACUCCAGCUGCCUCAGUCCCCAGCAAUUAGACAGUCACCACCAUGAAACCCACAGCAGCAACUAACAGGACAACACCAAGGAUGGUCUCAGCAAAUAGGACUGCCAUCUUCAAGUCUACACCCAAAACAAACACAUCUCAGAUAGCAACAUCCACGAUGACCAUAGCCCACAAUAGUUCAGUGACAUCUGUUUCUUCAUCAGUAACAAUUACAGCAACUAUGCAUUCUGAAGCAAAGAAAGGAUCCAAAUGUGAUACUGGGAGCUUUGUUGGUGGUAUUGUAUUAAUGCUGGGAGUUUUAUCUAUUCUUUACAUUGGAUGCAAAAUGUACUACUCAAGAAGAGGCAUUCGGUAUAGAAACAUAGAUGAACAUGACGCCAUCAUUUAAGGAAAUCAUGGACCAAAGAAGGAAGACAGAUUGAUGCAGCCCUAUCAAUUAAUUUUGGUUUAUUAAUAGUUUAAAACAAUAUUCUCUUCUUGAAAACAGCAUAAACAGGCCAUGCAUAAAAUAUACAGUGUAUUACGUAAAUGUGUAAAGAUUCUUCAAGGUAACAAGGGUUUGGGUUUUGUAAUAAACAUCUAGAGCUUAAAAAAAAA